AGAGUUUGAUCCUGGCUCAGGAUGAACGCUAGCGGCAGGCUUAACACAUGCAAGUCGAGGGGCAGCAUACCCGGUGACGGGUGAUGGCGACCGGCGGAAGGGUGAGUAACGCGUGAGCAACAUACCCGUAUCAGUGGGAUAAUACAGGGAAACUUGUUCUAAUAUCACAUAAUAUUAUUCAGAGGCAUCUUUGGAUAAUUAAAGUUCAGGCGGAUACGGAAUGGCUCGCGUGACAUUAGCUAGAUGGUAGGGUAAAGGCCUACCAUGGCUAUGAUGUCUAGGGGUUCUGAGAGGGAGGUCCCCCACACUGGAACUGAGACACGGUCCAGACUCCUACGGGAGGCAGCAGUGAGGAAUAUUGGACAAUGGAUGGAAAUCUGAUCCAGCCAUGCCGCGUGCAGGAAGGCGGCCCUAUGGGUUGUAAACUGCUUUUGUACGGGAGCAAUAAGGUCUACGAGUAGAUUGAUGAGAGUACUGUACGAAUAAGCAUCGGCUAACUCCGUGCCAGCAGCCGCGGUAAUACGGAGGAUGCGAGCGUUAUCCGGAUUUAUUGGGUUUAAAGGGUGCGUAGGCUGUUAUAUAAGUCAGUGGUAAAAGGUACAGGCUUAACUUGUAUACGCCAUUGAAACUGUAUAGCUAGGAUAUGGAUGAAGUGUGCGGAAUGUGUGGUGUAGCGGUGAAAUGCAUAGAUAUCACACAGAACACCGAUAGCGAAGGCAGCACACUAAGGCAAUAUUGACGCUGAGGCACGAAAGUGUGGGGAUCAAACAGGAUUAGAUACCCUGGUAGUCCACACU
rnacentral:rRNA from 1 species